CUACGGGUGGCACCAGGCACGGAACCUUUACAAUGCACGAAAGUGUGAUAAGGGAAUUCCAAGUGCUCUAUCAAUGAUAGGGCUUUUGUCAAGUGUAAGGAGCUUGUCGAAUAAGUGAUGGGCAAGACUGGUGCCAGCCGCCGCGGUAACACCAGCGCCACAAGUGGCAACCAUGUUUAUUGGGUCUAAAGCGUCCGUAGCCGGUUUGAUAAAUUUCCUGUGAAAUUGUCCAGCUCAACUGGACAGCGUGCAAGAAAGACUGUUUAACUUGAGACCGGGAGGAGAUAAGGGUAUUCCAGGGGGAACGGUAAAAUGUAAUAAUCCUUGGAGGACCACCAAUGGCGAAGGCACUUAUCUAGAACGGUUCUGACGGUCAGGGACGAAAGCUAGGGGAGCAAAACGGAUUAGAUACCCGAGUAGUC
rnacentral:rRNA from 1 species